rnacentral:lncRNA from 1 species
UCUAGCUCGGUGCACUCAAUUGAAAGAACUGACAAACAAAGGUAACAAAUAACUUUAAUACUCACGUAAUAACGUUCUCCUUGCAAAAUUUCACCAACAAGCCACCACACACACACAGCAUCACAACAGACGAAAUCCCCAAGGUGAUAAUGGACGCCAGUCCAACUUCUACACUAAGGAGAAGGCACUGAGGGCAGUUAUCCGUUCAUGUUCCUUGUCUGCAAGUGAAUCCCGACGUUUCAGCACCUAGGCAACAGUGCUUGGACAGUGGAUUGCUGGUUUGAAAAACACCAGUUGGCUACAUACUACAAGGUAACAGCAAAUGUAAAGUCAAUCAUAAACGAUGGUUUUGAUGGCCAUUGAUAAUUGGAGAGCAGCAUUGGAAUGUGACAGCUUGUCUGGGAUAAAAGCACUACUAAUUUAAUUAGUUUAAAUAACACAAAAUUUAACUAAUGAUUCUUAUUGCAUUCUUGGCUCGUUUUCAGAAAAUUUCAGCUGAAGUUUACCUAUGUGCAAACAGAGAGAGUACAAACAGGACAAUCCGGUGCAAGCUGUCUAAAGCCAAAUAGUUUCUAUGUGCAAGAUUUCAGGUUAACUUGUUGCAUACAAGUUGUUGUAAAUCUUCAAAAUAUUGUUGCCUUUCCCAGAUCAAAUUCUA